rnacentral:rRNA from 1 species
UACGGAGGGAGCAAGCGUUAAUCGGAAUUACUGGGCGUAAAGCGUGCGUAGACGGUUAUUUAAGUCAGAUGUGAAAGCCCCGGGCUCAACCUGGGAAUUGCAUUUGACGACUGAAUAGCUAGGGUGCGGUAGAGGGAAGCGGAAUUUCCGGUGUAGCGGUGAAAUGACGUAGAUAUCGGAAGGAACAUCAGUGGCGAAAGCGGCUUCCUGGACCAGCACCGACGUUCAGGCACGAAAGCGUGGGGAG